AUUGAACGCUGGCGGCAGGCCUAAUACAUGCAAGUCGAGCGGAUGGAGGGAGCUUUUUCUUGGCUUCCGUGGCCGACGGGCGGGUAAUGCCUAGGAAUCUGCCCUGUCGUGGGGGCUGACGUCCGGACAGGGGAGCUAAUAUCGUAUCCGUCCACAGGUAGAAAGUGGGGGAUCAUCGGACCUCACGCUACCUGCUGAGCCUUGGUCGGAUUAGUUAGUUGGUAGGGUAAGUGCCUACCAAGGCGACGAUCCGUAACUGGUCUGAGAGGAUGAUCAGUCACACUGGAACUGAGACACGGUCCAGACUCCUACGGGAGGCAGCAGUGGGGAAUAUUGGACAAUGGGCGAAAGCCUGAUCCAGCCAUGCCGCGUGUGUGAAGAAGGUCUUCGGAUUGCAAAGCACUUUAAGUUGGGAGGAAGGGCAGUAAGUUAAUACCUUGCUGUUUUGACGUUACCAACAGAAUAAGCACCGGCUAACUUCGUG
rnacentral:rRNA from 1 species